rnacentral:rRNA from 1 species
GACAGAGGAUGCAAGCGUUAUCCGGAAUGAUUGGGCGUAAAGCGUCUGUAGGUGGCUUUUUAAGUCCGCCGUCAAAUCCCAGGGCUCAACCCUGGACAGGCGGUGGAAACUACCAAGCUCGAGUACGGUAGGGGUAGACGGAAUUCCUGGUGUAGCGGUGAAAUGCGCAGAGUAUCAGGAGGAACACCGGUGGCGAAGGCGGUUCUCUGGGCAUUACCUGACGCUGAGGAGCGAAAGUGUGGGGAGCGAACAGG